rnacentral:misc_RNA from 1 species
AAGUCGUAACAAGGUUUCCGUAGGUGAACCUGCGGAAGGAUCAUUAUUGAACUAAGUCGGAUUCGAUGCUGGCCCUUAACCCGGGCAUGUGCUCGUCCUUCAUUUUUCUAACCUUCUUUAUGUGCACAUUUGUAUGCCCCUGAGUAACGAGCGCCUCUCGCAGCAAUGCGGUUUGCUUGGGACUGACGGCCUGGUCGUCUUUCCUGCAAUGCUCUCUGGGGGCUACGUUUUUAUAUACAAGUCGGUUAUAGAAUGUCUUUUAAUGACUGUUGCCUAGCGCAUGGUCUUAAACAAUUACAACUUUCAGCAACGGAUCUCUUGGCUCUCCCAUCGAUGAAGAACGCAGCGAAAUGCGAUAAGUAAUGUGAAUUGCAGAAUUCAGUGAAUCAUCGAAUCUUUGAACGCACCUUGCGCCCUUUGGUAUUCCGAAGGGCAUGCCUGUUUGAGUGUCAUUAAAUUAUCAACCUUGCUCGCUUUUACCGGCUUGAGCUGAGGCUUGGACGUGGGGGGUUUUUGCUGGCUUCCUUCAGUGGAUGGUCUGCUCCCCUUAAAUUCAUUAGCGGGAUCUCUUGUGGACCGUCACUUGGUGUGAUAAUUAUCUAUGCCGUUUGACCUUGAAGCAAAUUUAUGGGACCCUGCUUAUAACCGUCUCUUACCGGGACAAUUUAAUAACAUCUUGACCUCAAAUCAGUAGGACUACCCGCUGAACUUAAGCAUAUCAAUAAGCGGAGGAAAAGAAACUAACAAGGAUUCCCCUAGUAACUGCGAGUGAAGCGGGAAAAGCUCAAAUUUAAAAUCUGGCGGUCCUUGUGGCCGUCCGAGUUGUAAUUUAGAGAA